GAUUCCCCUAGUAACUGCGAGUGAAGCGGGAAGAGCUCAAAUUUUGAAUCUGGCGGCCUUCUUGGGUCGUCCGAGUUGUAAUCUAGAGAAGCGUUUUCCGUGCUGGACCGUGUACAAGUCUCCUGGAAGGGAGCGUCAUAGAGGGUGAGAAUCCCGUCUUUGACACGGAGGACCCAGUGCUAUGUGAUGCGCUCUCGACGAGUCGAGUUGUUUGGGAAUGCAGCUCAAAACGGGUGGUAAAUUCCAUCUAAAGCUAAAUAUGGGCGAGAGACCGAUAGCGAACAAGUACCGUGAGGGAAAGAUGAAAAGAACUUUGGAAAGAGAGUUAAACAGUACGUGAAAUUGCUGAAAGGGAAACGCUUGAUGUCAGUCGCGUCGGUCGGGGAUCAACCCUUGCUUCUUGCUGGGCGUACUUCCCGGCAGACGGGUCAGCAUCAGUUUCGGACGUCGUACAAGGGCGAGAGGAAUGUGACACUCUUCGGAGUGUGUUUAUAGCCUUUUCGUCGUAUGCGACGUUUGGGACUGAGGAACUCAGCACGGCUUUUUCAAAAGCUUUUUUCGUGCUUCAGGAUGCUGGCAUAAUGGCCUUAAGCGACCCGUCUUGAAAACACGGACCAAGGAGUCUAACAUGCCUGCGAGUGUUCGGGGUGGCAAACCCGAG
rnacentral:rRNA from 1 species